CGGGUAGCCGGCCUGAGAGGGCGACCGGCCACACUGGGACUGAGACACGGCCCAGACUCCUACGGGAGGCAGCAGUGGGGAAUAUUGCACAAUGGGCGAAAGCCUGAUGCAGCGACGCCGCGUGAGGGAUGACGGCCUUCGGGUUGUAAACCUCUUUCAGCAGGGAAGAAGCGAAAGUGACGGUACCUGCAGAAGAAGCGCCGGCUAACUACGUGCCAGCAGCCGCGGUAAUACGUAGGGCGCGAGCGUUGUCCGGAAUUAUUGGGCGUAAAGAGCUCGUAGGCGGCUUGUCACGUCGGUUGUGAAAGCCCGGGGCUUAACCCCGGGUCUGCAGUCGAUACGGGCAGGCUAGAGUUCGGUAGGGGAGAUCGGAAUUCCUGGUGUAGCGGUGAAAUGCGCAGAUAUCAGGAGGAACACCGGUGGCGAAGGCGGAUCUCUGGGCCGAUACUGACGCUGAGGAGCGAAAGCGUGGGGAGCGAACAGGAUUAGAUACCCUGGUAGUCCACGCCGUAAACGGUGGGCACUAGGUGUGGGCGACAUUCCACGUCGUCCGUGCCGCAGCUAACGCAUUAAGUGCCCCGCCUGGGGAGUACGG
rnacentral:rRNA from 1 species